GAAGAAACAACACUCACUUGUACCUAGAGUAUGUCUAAUCUGAAAGGUUCUGACUCUCACAGACAUGAUAAGGAAUAACUGAAUUGGGGCUGUUAUCAAACAAAACAGCAACAGGAAAUUUAAGGCUUGCUGCCAAAGUCAUAAACUCAUCACCUGUAAUUCAUCUACUUAUACUACUCAAGAAUGAACAGAAGACUGGAAACUUCCGACAGAGAGUGAAACAACAGGGUAUGAGUUUUACUGAUACACUGUGGAACUGAUCAGAUGAAAAUAGUUGCAGAAUCUCUGGGUAUCAAGCAACCACAUAGGUAGACACUUUAAUAGCGAAAGUAUAAUUGAGACAAACUCCACAUGUACAUUUGUAUCAUUAAGGGCAGUUCAUUUGUGGAACUAACAGAGCAUUCCCAUAAUCAACAGGAACCCAGAGUGCUCUAACUUAAGUGGAAAAAAGACUACACUCUUACUAUAUGUUUAAUGUAUAGAUAUUUACAAGAGAAAUAAUACAUUUAAAAGAAAAGAGAUGGGUUUCACACAUUUACAAUUAUUCAAAUCCAAAGUUCCAUGGUAAUAGAAAGACAUUCUUGCAUGUUCCAUUCUAAUCACAAGCAGUUGAAGAAAAAAUUUUCUGGCAGGUGAAAUGAGCACAAUGCCCUCAUUACAAUCAAUAUCAUUCUUCAAAACUGAUGGCACUGUCAAACAAUGCAUUUCCUUGAGAGUUUGAGAACAUUUUCUUUGGGCCUGAAAUUUAGACUUUGUAACUUAGGUUUUUAUGGCAAAGUUACAACAGUAACAAGAAGUCUUAAAUACAAUUCUUCAAGUGUGCUUAACUACUAAUAGUAGGUUUAUAAAAAAUAAUUAUGAAGAAAUAUUUACAGAGGGUCAAGAUUUUUAAAUUAGAGAGUACAAGGGAGAAAAGGGAACAAAGACCAUGUAAAAAAAAAAAGAUGCCAUCAAGGUGCAGCCUAGCCUCACUGCAGGAUCUUCUUCUUUCCAUACUCUUUCACAAGGGUGGAAAGAAAAGAGAUCCUGGAAACUAGAAUGGGUGUGGUCAGUUAUAUCUUUGGCCGUGUGAGGAAUUGGUCCCAUAACAGAAACAGAUGGAGAAUAAUUUUGUGACAAUCCCUGGGGGAAUAACCCAGGAGACACCAGCUGCACAGAGAUAUCACUGGAACACGAUGAUAAGGGCUCAUAUUGAAAGAAAUAUUGAGACACUGAAAGCAUUUUGUUCAAAAAAUGGAAUGUUGUGAUGACAGCAGAAUGUUAUUCUACAGGCCUAUCGACUAACCAAAAGUUCAAAGCAAUUUUUUUUUAAUUGUAGUAAUAAUCAUAAUUGUAAGUUUAAUAAAUUACCCUCUUUUUU